rnacentral:sRNA from 1 species
AAGGCAGUGAUGAUUU